AAUGCGGGACUCUAAGAGGCCCCGUAAUUGGAAUGAGUACACCUUAAAUCGUUUAACGAGUAUCAAUUGGAGGGCAAGUCUGGUGCCAGCAGCCGCGGUAAUUCCAGCUCCAAUAGCGUAUAUUAAAGUUGCUGCAGUUAAAAAGCUCGUAGUUGGAUCUGGGGCUUGAGGUCGCUGUCUAUCGUUUCGGCGAUGACGGUGAUGCUCAGCUCUGCUUGCCGGUGACUGUUGCGGUGUUCUUCACUGAGCGCUGUAGCAGCACGGCACGUUUACUUUGAAAAAAUUAGAGUACUCAAAGCGUGCUUGUCGCUUGAAUAAUGUUGCAUGGAAUAAUGGAAUAGGACCUCGGUUCUAUUUUGUUGGUUUUCGGAGCUUGAGGUAAUGAUUAAGAGGGACGAACGGGGGCAUUCGUAUUGCGGUGUUAGAGGUGAAAUUCUUGGAUCGCCGCAAGACGGACUACUGCGAAAGCAUUUGCCAAGAACGCUUUCAUUAAUUAAGAACGAAAGUCAGAGGUUCGAAGACGAUCAGACACCGUCCUAGUUCUGACCAUAAACGAUGCCGACCAGCGAUCCGUAGUGGUUGCUUUAUGGACCCUACGGGCAGCCUCCGGGAAACCAAAGUAUUUGGGUUCCGGGGGAAGUAUGGUUGCAAAGCUGAAACUUAAAGGAAUUGACGGAAGGGCACACCAGGAGUGGAGCCUGCGGCUUAAUUUGACCCAACACGGGAAAACUCACCCGGUCCGGACACCGUAAGGAUUGACAGACUGAUAGCUCUUUCUUGAUUCGGUGGAUGGUGGUGCAUGGCCGUUCUUAGUUGGUGGAGUGAUUUGUCUGGUUAAUUCCGAUAACGAACGAGACUCUAGCCUGCUAAGUAGUGUUGCUAUUGUUAUAUGGUUGACACUUCUUAGAGGGACAAGUGGCAUUUAGCCACGCGAAAUUGAGCAAUAACAGGUCUGUGAUGCCCUUAGAUGUCCGGGGCCGCACGCGCGCUACACUGGAGAAGUCAGCGUGUGUUAUCCAAGUCCGAAAGGACUGGGUAAUCCGUUGAACCUUCUUCGUGCUUGGGACUGUGGCUUGGAACUAUUCCACAUGAACGAGGAAUUCCUAGUAAUUGCAAGUCAUAAGCUUGCGUUGAUUACGUCCCUGCCCUUUGUACACACCGCCCGUCGCUACUACCGAUUGAAUGGUUUAGCAAGGUCCUCGGAUCGUGGCCGUAGGGGCACGCAAAUGUUUCUGCGGUUUGCGAGAAGACGACCGAACUUGAUCAUUUAGA
rnacentral:rRNA from 1 species